ensembl:lncRNA
UCAUAUGCAGCUCCAGGCUGCACACUCCCAAGGAACACGUGGAUGCACACACCGAGGGUUAAAUGGUUUAUGUUCUGUUUUUUCCAGCCUGCCCUGAGGCCCAAGGGUCCCCCACCUCCCGUUCCUGCCCCCAAACCUGGCUCUUCCCACCCCGAGGAGAAGUUUGCUCCAGAGAGAAAAGCUCCUCCUGUGCCCGUUCCCAAAGGCAAACCCCCUCCUCCACCCCAGGCUUUAAAGCCCCCCAUGCAUCCCAGAGUCUGAGGCUUCCCAAGCAGAGCUGGGUGGGCCACCUGAAGUUUCCAGGGACAGUUCAUCCCUCGAUUCCUCCACUUCUGGCAAAGGUAUCCUGGACCAUCUCCCUCUCCUCCUGAAGAACUGACUGAGAGCUGCCUGGGGAGAUUUGGGAUUUCGGGCAGUGAGGAGCCCUGGUGGUGACACGGAGCUGCUGUCCACGGGAAGCGGAGCAGAGUCACCACUUGCACUGAGGUGUAAACUGGGAGUAAGUUACAACAGCUGCUGAACACCUCCAGCUGCAGGGCCAGCACUGUGGGAUGGGGCUGCUCCUCCUCUGCUCCUCUGGGGCCAGAGCUGAGGGCAGCAGGGACAGUGUGGCUGCUGCAGGCUUGGGAAUUGCAAACUUUUGGUUUUUUGCUCCAUUUCUGGAUCUUUUCCAGCCCUCUCUGCCCUCAGCAAUACAAAGAUUUCUCCUUGUGGAGAAAAACAAACCCUUCCUGCCCUGGGGAGAGAAGCUGUGUCCCCAGGGUCCGAGCUGGACAUGGAAUAAGCAAUGAGACACACUGGGAAUGGUUCUGGGAAGAUCCUUUGCACUGGAUUCUCUCCACAGUCCCUAAAUUCCCUGUUGAGGAUGCCAUUCCCUGCAAAACAUGGAUAUGAUGGAAUUUCAGUUCUUCCUUUGACGUUGUGUUGGAUGAGGAUAUUUCUGGAAGAGCAGAGCUUCCUUCCUCUUUGGAUAAUUGCUGCUUUAUUUGAGCCAGGAACAGAUUGGAAUCUCCACCUGGGUUUGGCUGGGGUGUAAAAAUCCAGAAGUUAUUUUUUA